ACCGGAGACAGACAGGAGACAGGCAGGAGACAAACAGGAGACAGACAGGAGGCAGACAGGAGACAGACAGGGGACAGACAGGAGACAGACCAGAGGCAGACACGAGACAGUCAGGAGGCAGACAGGAGACAGACAGGGGACAGACAGGAGACAGACAGGAGAUAGACAGGAGGCAGACACAGGAAAGGCAAGAGGCAGACAGGAGACAGACAGGGGACAGACAGGAGACAGACAGGAGGCAGACAGGAGAUAGACCGGAGACAGACAGGAGACAGACAGGAGGCAGAC
ensembl:lncRNA